rnacentral:rRNA from 1 species
GAAUUUAAGCCCCAGUAAACGGCGGUGGUAACUAUAACCAUCCUAAGGUAGCGAAAUUCCUUGUCGGGUAAGUUCCGACCUGCACGAAUGGAGUAACGACUUCCCUACUGUCUCAACCAUGAACUCGGUGAAAUUGCAGUACGAGUAAAGAUGCUCGUUUCGCGCAGCAGGACGGAAAGACCCCGUGACCUUUACUAUAGUUUGGUAUUGGUGUUUGGUUUGGCUUGUGUAGGAUAGGUGGGAGACUGUGAAGCAUGGACGCUAGUUUGUGUGGAGUCGUUGUUGAAAUACCACUCUGGUCAAUCUGGAUGUCUAACUUCGGGCCAUGAUCUGGUUCAGGGACAGUGCCUGAUGGGUAGUUUAACUGGGGCGGUUGCCUCCUAAAGUGUAACGGAGGCGCCCAAAGGUUCCCUCAGCCUGGUUGGCAAUCAGGUGUUGAGUGUAAGUGCACAAGGGAGCUUGACUGUGAGACUGGCAGGUCGAGCAGGGACGAAAGUCGGGACUAGUGAUCCGGCGGUACGUUGUGGAACGGCCGUCGCUCAACGGAUAAAAGGUACCUCGGGGAUAACAGGCUGAUCUUGCCCAAGAGUCCAUAUCGACGGCAUGGUUUGGCACCUCGAUGUCGGCUCGUCGCAUCCUGGGGCUGGAGUCGGUCCCAAGGGUUGGGCUGUUCGCCCAUUAAAGCGGUACGCGAGCUGGGUUCAGAACGUCGUGAGACAGUUCGGUCCCUAUCCGCUGCGCGCGUUGGAAAUUUGAGAAAGGCUGUCCUUAGUACGAGAGGACCGGGACGGACGAACCUCUGGUAUGUCAGUUGUACCGCCAGGUGCAUGGCUGAUUGGCUACGUUCGGGAGGGAUAACCGCUGAAAGCAUCUAAGCGGGAAGCUUGUUUCGUGAUGAGUUCUCCUGGCCCCCGUGUGGGGUGUGAGGUUCCCUGUAGAUGACGGGGUUGAUAGGCCGGGUAUGGAAGCGCUGUAAGGUGUGGAGUUGACUGGUACUAAUAGACCGAAGGCUUACAUUA